rnacentral:tRNA from 1 species
GAGGGUAUAGCUCAGUGGGUGGAGCACAUGCUUGGCAUGCACGAGGUCGUGGGUUCAAUCCCCAGUGCCUCCA